rnacentral:ribozyme from 1 species
AAGGAAACGAGAAGGGAAAAGGUAGUUCGCAUUUAUAAUUUUUGUUUUUUUGUUUUUUUGGGGGGGUUGUUUUUUAACUUUGAUUCCCCC